AAAGUAUAACGCGUCCAAACUAAGAAAGGGAGAUCGUAUCCGCCAUAUUGUGACGUUAUAGAUAAAAAUAUAUUUUUAUUC